GAUGAACGCUGGCGGCGUGCCUAAUACAUGCAAGUCGAGCGAACGGACGAGGAGCUUGCUUCUCUGAUGUUAGCGGCGGACGGGUGAGUAACACGUGGAUAACCUACCUAUAAGACUGGGAUAACUUCGGGAAACCGGAGCUAAUACCGGAUAAUAUUUUGAACCGCAUGGUUCAAAAGUAAAAGACGGUCUUGCUGUCACUUAUAGAUGGAUCCGCGCUGCAUUAGCUAGUUGGUAAGGUAACGGCUUACCAAGGCAACGAUGCAUAGCCGACCUGAGAGGGUGAUCGGCCACACUGGAACUGAGACACGGUCCAGACUCCUACGGGAGGCAGCAGUAGGGAAUCUUCCGCAAUGGGCGAAAGCCUGGCGGAGCAACGCCGCGUGAGUGAUGAAGGUCUUCGGAUCGUAAAACUCUGUUAUUAGGGAAGAACAUAUGUGUAAGUAACUGUGCACAUCUUGACGGUACCUAAUCAGAAAGCCACGGCUAACUACGUG
rnacentral:rRNA from 1 species